CUGGUUUGGCCCACGCACACAGGAAAGGAGAUACGGCACAGCUGUUCCAGGCCAGACCACACAGCGGUGAUGACGGACAAAGCAGUUCCUCGUGUACGAUCUCGCUCUGUCAAGACGGGUCACUGUACCACACAGCUCAUUCAACUGCAGAUGAUACGCUAAGUCCCACGACAAGAACCAACAAAAGGGGGGAAAUACAACUGUAUGCUUUUCACUUAAUCAGAGGGAAGGAGGUGGACAAGUCCCCUAAUGACCCCUCCUGACACCAGGCCUCGGAUGGUCUGUCAUAGCUGAAGCCGUUUCACUGGGAGCAGGUGGAAGACAUCACUGUUUUCCAUUGACGAUUCUGAAGUGUUCGAACGUCGUCUCAGGCCUCGUCUCA